rnacentral:rRNA from 1 species
AUUGAACGCUGGCGGCAGGCUUAACACAUGCAAGUCGAGCGGGGUGAUGGUGCUUGCACUAUCACUUAGCGGCGGACGGGUGAGUAAUGCUUAGGAAUCUGCCUAUUAGUGGGGGACAACAUCUCGAAAGGGAUGCUAAUACCGCAUACGUCCUACGGGAGAAAGCAGGGGAUCACUUGUGACCUUGCGCUAAUAGAUGAGCCUAAGUCGGAUUAGCUAGUUGGUGGGGUAAAGGCCUACCAAGGCGACGAUCUGUAGCGGGUCUGAGAGGAUGAUCCGCCACACUGGGACUGGGACACGGCCCAGGCUCCUACGGGAGGCAGCAGUGGGGAAUAUUGGACAAUGGGGGGAACCCUGAUCCAGCCAUGCCGCGUAUGUGAAGAAGGCCUUAUGGUUGUAAAGCACUUUAAGCGAGGAGGAGGCUCUUUUGGUUAAUACCCAAGAUGAGUGGACGUUACUCGCAGAAUAAGCACCGGCUAACUCUGUGCCAGCCGCCGCAGUAA